rfam:Weissella halotolerans DSM 20190 Scaffold9, whole genome shotgun sequence.
GGUAGAGCACACGACUGUUAAUCGUGCUGUCGUCGGUUCGAGCCCGACAUUCGGAG